UAGUUUCGUAGAAGGACUUGCUUCUCGAUUCGCGGCGGACGGGCGCCCUAAUGCCUAGGAAUCUGCCUGGUAGUGGGGGACAACGUUUCGAAAGGGACGCUAAUACCGCAUACGUCCUACGGGAGAAAGCAGGCGACCUUCGGGCCUUGCCUAUCAGAUGAGACUACCCCGGAUUAGCUA
rnacentral:rRNA from 1 species